rnacentral:rRNA from 1 species
GAUGAACGCUGACAGAAUGCUUAACACAUGAAAGUCAACUGUGGCGGACGGGUGAGUAACGCGUAAAGAACUUGCCUCACAGCUAGGGACAACAUUUGGAAACGAAUGCUAAUACCUGAUACUGUGAGAGAGCUUUGCGUCCCAUUAGCUAGUUGGGGAGGGAACGGCUCACCAAGGCGCGGAUGGGUAGCCGGCCUGGGAGGGUGAACGGCCAAAAGGGGACUGAGACACGGCCCUUACUCCUACGGGAGGCAGCAGUGGGGAAUAUUGGACAAUGGACCAAAGUCUGAUCCAGCAAUUCUGUGUGCACGAUGAAGUUUUCGGAAUGUAAAGUGCUUUCAGUUGGGAAGCGGUACCAACAGAAGAAGUGACGGCUAAAUACGUGCCAGCAGCCGCGGUAAUAC